UUGCUUUGGUAGCACAUAUACAAAAACUGGAACGAUACAGAGAAGAUUGGCAUGGCUCCUGUGCAAAGAUGGCAAGCACAUUAUGAAGCGGUCCAUAAAGAA